AACGCGAAGAACCUUACCAAGGCUUGACAUAUACCGGAAACAUCCAGAGAUGGGGUCCCCUCAAGGUCGGUAUACAGGUGGUGCAUGGUUGUUGUCAGCUCGUGUCGUGAGAUGUUGGGUUAAGUCCCGCAACGAGCGCAACCCUCGUUCUAUGUUGCCAGCGCGUAAUGGCGGGGACUCAUAGGAGACCGCCGGGGUCAAAUCGGAGGAAGGUGGGGAUGACGUCAAAUCAUCAUGCCCCUUAUGUCCUGGGCUUCACCCAUGCUACAAUGGCCGGUACAAAGGGGUGCGAUACCGCGAGGUGGAGCGAAUCCCAAAAAACCGGUCUCAGUUCGGAUUGGGGUCUGCAACUCGACCCCAUGAAGUCGGAGUCGCUAGUAAUCGCAGAUCAGCAACGCUGCGGUGAAUACUUUCCCGGGUCUUGUACACACCG
rnacentral:rRNA from 1 species